UACGUAGGGGGCAAGCGUUGUUCGGAAUUACUGGGCGUAAAGGGCGCGUAGGCGGUCAGCACAAGUCAGUUGUGAAAUCUCCGGGCUUAACUCGGAAAGGUCAACUGAUACUGUGCGACUAGAGUGCGGAAGGGGCAACUGGAAUUCUCGGUGUAGCGGUGAAAUGCGUAGAUAUCGAGAGGAACACCUGCGGCGAAGGCGGGUUGCUGGGCCGACACUGACGCUGAUGCGCGAAAGCCAGGGGAGCGAACGGG
rnacentral:rRNA from 1 species